AAGGCCCACUAGGGGCCCAUCUACCUAACCCUAUCAGUCGCGCGUCCCUGGCUUCUCUCCCAGCCGCAGCCGCCGCCGCCGCCUCUCUCUCCCUUCCCUCUUCUCUCUGCCCUCACCUCUCUCCCCCUUCCAUCGCCUCGCUAGUAACAGGUCACCGUGUGUGUGCGCGCCAUGGGGAUUCAUCUGUCGCCGCCUGCCCUCGCCUUCUGCCUCUCGGCGCCCACUCGGUUCCAGUGGCCGCUUCGAGGAGGCGCUCGCGCGCAUCGAGGAGCUCCGGGAGCGCGACACUGGCGCCGACGACAGCAGCACAGCCUCGUCGUUCUUGAGCGACGGAGAGGCGGCGUCGCGGCUAGCAGGCAAGCAGCAGUCGCACUCCGCAGAUUUCUUGAGCGACGGAGAGGCGGCGUCCGGUGGCAUUCAGAGACGUGCGUGACGGUCGGAGGUCGUCGAGCGCGUGUAAGCUUGUUGACCAUUUUCAGCAUGUGUAAAUUGGCGGUUAGAUUUCGUUCAAGAAGUAAGUGCUACAUUUCUUGUGUCCUUAAAUCAAUUAAUACCACUACUGCUUGUUCACUGGACAUGUUUUAGCUAGAUAGCAUCCAAGACAAAUAGCGUUGUUGGCGAUCUGAGGCAGCUGGUAGGCAGUCUAGGCUUGGGCGCACGCGAGCCAGAGAGGGAGGGCUGGGAGCACGUCAUCUCCAAGAGCAGCGACGACGUCUCCUACAAGGCCUGGUGCGACAAGCCCACGUUUUCGGCGAUGCGAUGAGGGUUUUCGGCGAUCCGUGCUUGCUAGUUGCGCUCUACGAUCAGGCGGAGGGGGUUUGAGAUGUGAAUAUUCCACUUUUUCAUUCUAGAACAUCAAACCUGAGUUGCUCUACGAUCAGGCGGAGGUUGUUUUGUAGUUGCCAAUUGCGUACAUGCAUUGCAACAGAUCUGGGCUCUAGAAGCUGCUAACUUGGUAGCAGAAAGAUUGAGGCAUUGCAUAGCAAACCACUGGAUCAAAGAGUUUAGUGAAUGGCCACAGUGCAUGUUCUUGAGUUGGCAUCAAAGUUCCUUCCAUAUAAUAAUAACAAAAUAUUUGACAUAAUGAAUCUGUUGGAGGAUAGACUUCAACAUGCAAAUGGAGCCAUUGUUUUGGCAACAAUUAAAGUUUUUCUCCAUUCCCAUGACUGUUGUUCAUCAACAGCAAGAGAAGAAGGAAGACAAGUCAGA